CAGCCGUAAACUAUGCGCGUUAGGUGUAUCGGUGACCACGAGUUACCGAGGUGCCGAAGGGAAACCGUGAAACGUGCCGCCUGGGAAGUACGGUCGCAAGGCUGAAACUUAAAGGAAUUGGCGGGGAGCACCACAACGGGUGGAGCCUGCGGUUUAAUUGGACUCUACGCCGGGAAGCUCACCGGAUAAGACAGCGGAAUGAUUGCCGGGCUGAAGACUCUGCAUGACUAGCUGAGAGGAGGUGCAUGGCGUAGACGUCU
rnacentral:rRNA from 1 species